CAGUCGUGAGGAAGGCGGCGUCGUUAAUAGCGGCGUUGUUUGACGUUAGCGACAGAAGAAGCACCGGCUAACUCCGUGCCAGCAGCCGCGGUAAUACGGAGGGUGCGAGCGUUAAUCGGAAUUACUGGGCGUAAAGCGCAUGCAGGUGGUUUGUUAAGUUCAGAUGUGAAAGACCGGGGCGUUAACCUCGGAAUAGCAUUUGAAACUAGGCAGACUAGAGUACUGUAGAGGGGGGUAGGAAUUUCAGGUGUAGCGGUGAAAUAGCGUAGAGAUCUGAAGGAAUACCGGUGGCGAAGGCGGCCCCCUCGGACAGAUACUGACACUCAGAUGCGAAAGCGUGGGGAGCAAACAGGAUUAGAUACCCUGGUAG
rnacentral:rRNA from 1 species